rnacentral:ncRNA from 1 species
GUUCGACAAGGGCAAACCCGGCGAAAGCCGGCGACGCAAAGCCAUGGGUCUAAGGGUCUGCAUCCAACGCAGGCCUAUGAUUGCCAGGCUGCCGAA